rnacentral:tRNA from 1 species
GCAGUCGUGGCCAAGUGGUUAAGGCGAUGGACUAGAUAUUCAUAGAGAUAAUCUCGCGUAGGUUCUUAUCCUACCGAAUACG